rnacentral:rRNA from 1 species
AGCAGCCGCGGUAAUUCCAGCUCCAAUAGCGUAUAUUAAAGUUGUUGCAGUUAAAAAGCUCGUAGUUGAACUUCGGGGUUUACUCAUUGGUCAGGCUUAAUUGUCUGUACUGGUGAGAUGAAUCUCUACCUUCUGAGGAACUUUUAUGCCAUUUAUUUGGUGUGAUGGGAAAUCAGGACUGUUACUUUGAAAAAAUUAGAGUGUUUAAAGCAGGCUAACGUCUGAAUACAUUAGCAUGGAAUAAUGAAAUAGGACGGAUUGAUUCUAUUUCGUUGGUUUCUAGAGUCACCGUAAUGAUUAAUAGGGAUAGUUGGGGGCAUUAGUAUUCAAUUGUCAGAGGUGAAAUUCUUGGAUUUAUUGAAGACUAACUACUGCGAAAGCAUUUGCCAAGGAUGUUUUCAUUAAUCAAGAACGAAAUUAGGGGAUCGAAGACGAUCAGAUACCGUCGUAGUCUUAACCAUAAACUAUGCCGACUAGGGAUUCGGACGCAGUUAGUUUUAUAAUGACGUGUUCGGNUACC